ACUAACCAUUGAACACAGUGCUCUUCUCUUCUCUUCAUCAGUGCCCACUCUCUGCUUCUAGGGAACACCAGUAAAGUGUUUUCAUUUCACAGGUUCUUAAGGUGCGAGUAAUUUAAGGAGUGAAUUUUAAACUAAUUGUGGUACUACAGGAUCACUUUAUUAAGAAUGCUUGCUGUGUUUCAGAUUUGUUCUCAGAUGGCUUUAUCAUGGUGUUUAGGCUUCCUUCCACUGCAGACAGAUGCUUAGUGGUCUGGGGAUAAUGCCACUCAGAAUUAGAAGGGUCUUCAGGAGACCUGAACUUCUAAAAGACAGGUCUCUAGCACCACUACCUGGGCACCUCUUAGCAUCUAUCUAUCUAUCCCACAGGUUUUCUAAUCCUUUUUUAUAGAUGAGGAUGCAGGCUAGGUACUUGUCAAGUAAGAAAGACAUUUGAGAUCUUAAACUUAGCUAUGUGUCAUAGCACAUACCUUUAAUCCCAGCACUCAGGAGGCAGGCAGAGCACAAAGCUAACCACAUUACAAGAUGAGUUCUGGGCCAGCCAGAACAGGAUUCUUACCAGCUUUACAGCAGUCACAAACACAAUGAAGACUAAAUGUUCUCACUAGGUUUACUGCAGAGAGGGCCCCUGCCAAGGUACAGCCACAGUCUAGACCUUAGUAAAUCACUUUGUCAACUGGCCCAAAAAAUGAUCAUACACUGGAUCCCGACUGUCUUGUCUUACUGUAUUUCAGGUUGGGUUCAUCUAAGGACCAGUCAGCCUAUCUCAACCUACUCUUGUAGCUCCUCCUGAAGACUGCUUGUACCAUGUUCAUGACAAUACAAUAUGAAAUCCAGAAUCAUUUUUUAGUUCAAAACAAAACAGAAUCCUCACAAGUUUACCUAUAGAGGUGGAGGACAUCUUACCAUGAUACUAAGGGCAGAAGCAAGUAAUGAGUCUAUGACGUCAGCUGCAAAUCAAGAUGUAGCAUUUGUUGUGGGCCAACACUAUAUCUGUAACACAUGCACAUACAACUAAAUCAAGGUCUUCCAGCAGAGGUAAUAUUCUGACAAUUUUCCAGUCUAUUUCGUGAGAAAUUUUAUACUACACUUUAAAUUUUCAUAUGCUGUGAUUGUCUUACAUACACUUAAGCCCUGAAAACCCUACAUACAUGGUAUAGUUUAAAACUUUAAUAUGAAAUUAAAUGUAAAUUGCUUAAAGUUGUAAUCAGUAAAAGGAGAUGAGUCCCUUUGUCUCACCGCCUUUUUAUAACAGUGAAGUGAGUGCUGCUGGGGACACACCACAGACGCCACAGGACGUGAGGUCAAUCACCGUGGAACAUUGAAAAGCCCAACAAACACCUAACUUCGGUAACUUUGGAAUUAUAAAAAAGUAAAAACAUUUUCAAAGCAAAA
rnacentral:lncRNA from 1 species